AUUGAACGCUGGCGGCAGGCCUAACACAUGCAAGUCGAGCGAGCGGCGGACGGGUGAGUAAUGUAUGGGGACUGCCCGAUAGAGGGGGAUAACUACGGGAAACGGUGGCUAAUACCGCAUACUAUCGGAUAACCCAUAUGGGAUUAGCUAGUAGGUGGGGUAAAGGCUAACCUAGGCCACGAACGCGAGCUGGUCUGAGAGGAUGGUCAGCCACACUGGGACGGAGACACGGCCCAGACUCCUACGGAGGCAGCAGUGGGGAACAUGGCACAAUGGGCGCAAGCCGGAUGCAGCGAUGCCGCGUGUGUGAAGAAGGCCUUAGGGUUGUAAAGGCCUUUAAGCGGGGAGGCGUUACCCGCAGAAGAAGCACCGGCUAACUCCGUGCCAGCAGCCGCGGUAAUUC
rnacentral:rRNA from 1 species